rnacentral:tRNA from 1 species
CAGAGCGUAGCUUAAGAGAAAAGCAAUUCACUUACACCGAAUAGACACCCGUGCAAUUCAGGUCGCACUGA